rnacentral:rRNA from 1 species
GAUGAACGCUGGCGGCGUGCCUAAUACAUGCAAGUCGAGCGAACGGACGAGAAGCUUGCUUCUCUGAUGUUAGCGGCGGACGGGUGAGUAACACGUGGAUAACCUACCUAUAAGACUGGGAUAACUUCGGGAAACCGGAGCUAAUACCGGAUGAUAUUUUGAACCGCAUGGUUCAAAAGUGAAAGACGGUCUUGCUGUCACUUAUAGAUGGAUCCGCGCUGCAUUAGCUAGUUGUUAAGGUAACGGCUUACCAAGGCAACUAUGCAUAGCCGACCUGAGAGGGUGAUCGGCCACCCUGGAACUGAGACACGGUCCAGACUCCUACGGGAGGCAGCAGUAGGGAAUCUUCCGCAACGGGCGAAAGCCUGACGGAGCAACGCCGCGUGAGUGAUGAAGGUCUUCGGAUCGUAAAACUCUGUUAUUAGGGAAGAACAUAUGUGUAAGUAACUGUGCACAUCUUGACGGUACCUAAUCAGAAAGCCACGGCUAACUACGUG